rnacentral:tmRNA from 1 species
GGGGGUGACUGGCUUCGACGAGAAAUCCAAUAUGCUUGUUGUGCGAGACGGAAGCGAACGCCUUCCUUAAAACGUUCAAAAUCUAAGUGCGAACAAAGUAGCACGCGGAAUUCUUUCACCUAUUCAGAUGAAAGACCUCCAGUUCGCUUACGCAUUAGCCUAAGCGACCACGCCCUGUCCGACAUCAGAUACGGCAAUCGGCGUGUCAUAUCUUCUGAUCCGAUCCCAUCUUCGCUCCGAGUUAGGAUCUAAAGAAAGAGAGCUCGGCCGUGUGCGAUCUUGUACAUUCUCUACGUACACUGCUUAAACCAAACGAAUGUCCUACGCCUCGUAGAUUCGCUUGCAUAUCAUUUUUCGGACGGGAGUUCGAUUCUCCCCACCUCCACCA